UGGUUCUGGCAUCGAUGAAGAACGCAGCGAAAUGCGAUAAGUAAUGCGAAUUGCAGAAUUCAGUGAGUCAUCGAAUCUUUGAACGCACAUUGCGCCCUUUGGCAUUCCGAAGGGCAUGCCUGUUCGAGCGUCAUUAUCAACCCUCAAGCCUGGCUUGGUGUUGGACCUCCAGGCGGCGGCCUCGCGUCGUCGCCGGUCCCAAAGACAAUGACGGCGUCCGGCGGACCCUCGGUACACGGAGCUUACUUUCAAGCACGUACCGCAGCGGCCGCGGGACACGGUCUCCCUCUCUUUUACGAACGGUUGACCUCGGAUCAGGUAGGAAUACCCGCUGA
rnacentral:misc_RNA from 1 species